rnacentral:rRNA from 1 species
GGGUUCCUCAAUUAGUUGCGAAUGAAAGAUUAGAAUACUUCUGUUUGAUAUCCAAGGCCCCUGCCUUUUGACAUGAAGAUUUGAUGGUGUGCCCAGGGGAGAUGGCGGAAAGUGCAUACUGUCUAGGAAGAGGGAUGUGCAAAUGGCAACGAGGGCAACAAACCUCUGACACUUAAUUUUUCUUACUGCACGGCACCCAGUUUAGAGCCAUGCUCUUUGAAAGUGGAGUGCAAAGUGGGUGGUAAAUCUCACUCAAAAGCAUAUACAACACUGGGGCCGACAGUGCACAAGUACCGUGAGGGAAGUGUGAAAAGGACUUUGGAAAGAGAAUUAGAGGAGCCUGAACUUGCUGAAAACCAAGCAUACAGGGGGGGAGAGUUUGGAGAGAUUUCCCUGCACGACCAAGCAUGGUGACCUCCUGUGCAAAGGUUUUGUGGUGCAUACUGGCAUGACGUGUGUGUGUCUCUCCUUGAAUGACCAAAGAUGCCUGCAGUCAAUAGCAACAUGUGGUACUGGCCACUUUGUCGUGAGGCUUUUGCUGCUCAGAUCUUGCACGUGUCUGGCGGAUGGUGGGGGGGGCACAGCGGCAUUGGUGCCCAAAGGGGGUAUGGUGAGUGGUUGUGCCUCAGUGUGUUUGAAGUCAAGGCCUGCCCGGCUGCACACAAACGUCAACCUCUGCCUGUGUGACCCGUCUUGAAACACGGACCAAGGAGUCUAACAACCCUGCAGGUUGUGUGGUUGUGUGUGGGACGACUCUGUGCCAAUGAAAGUGGAGUCCCAGACCUGUGCAUGAGUGUUCCACCAAUCCCGAGGUUGAGGUUUGAGUCUGAGCAUGGGUGCUA